UUAACCUACGGGACGCAGCAGUGGGGAAUAUUGGGCAAUGGGCGCAAGCCUGACCCAGCAACGCCGCGUGAAGGAAGAAGGCUUUCGGGUUGUAAACUUCUUUUAAGAGGGAAGAGCAGAAGACGGUACCUCUUGAAUAAGCCACGGCUAACUACGUGCCAGCAGCCGCGGUAAUACGUAGGUGGCAAGCGUUGUCCGGAUUUACUGGGUGUAAAGGGCGUGCAGCCGGGAAGACAAGUCAGAUGUGAAAGCCCGCGGCCCAACCGCGGGACUGCAUUGGGAACUACCGGGCUGGAGGGCCGGAG
rnacentral:rRNA from 1 species